ensembl:snRNA Gm25995 U4 spliceosomal RNA
AUCUGCUCUUAGUUGUAGUAUCAUAGCCAAUGAGGUUUAUCCUAGGCGCAAUUAUUGCUAAUUAAAAACUUUUCCCAAUACCCUGCCGUGACAAUGCGCAAUACACUCAGCACUGGCAACUUUUACAGUCUCUACAGAGA